rnacentral:lncRNA from 1 species
GGGGUUCAGCUGGACCAGUCUGUGAUACCUGCUGCUAUCAGGGGUGGUGCAAUGCUCACAGCACUCACACAGUACUGGCACUGAGGAAAGCAGGUGCAUUUUGAAGGAAUGAAGUGGGUAAGAUGUACCAUGCCGGUCUUUAAAAUGCCACUUUCAACGGGACACAAAGGAGCCCUUGGCCCCUGUGACAGCUGGGCUCUUAUUUCCAGGGGCACAACUUGUGCUUCUGCUCAUGGGCUACUUACCAACCUGAGGGUGCCAGCUGAGAGCAUGGUAAGGUCAGUAAUUCAUUAUUUUGUAAAUUGUUUUGUUACUGGGGCUAUAAAAGGAGUUUCAUCCUUCAAGCUUGGGUCAGUUUGUCACAAAAAUACCCUGAGGUGACAGGAGGCUGAAAAAGGUGCUUUUAAACUUCCUGUGCUUUCAGCAAUAACUUCCAACCCUGCUUUACAAAGCACAGAAGAAAGGAAUCUGAG